rnacentral:lncRNA from 1 species
UGGUGGUGAGAGGGCGACCCUGGUGGUGGUGAGACGAGGAGGAGACGCGGUGGGAGAGAGAUGGGAGAGAUGAGAGAGGCGUGGAGAGAGAUAGGAGAGAUUAGAGAAACAGUAAGCUUGGAGAGGGAUGGGAGAGAUGAGAAUGAAGGAGAAGAACAUGAAGACCAGAUCUGUGUCGUGGAGUUUGUGAGAGAGAGAGGGAGAGGAGAAAAUUAAAAUUAAAAUUAAAAUUAAAAGGAAUAAAUCUUAACCUUCAGAUCUAAGUUAAUCUAACGGUUCAAAAGUGUGAUCCAUGUAUUUUAAUCUGAUUGGCCAGACAAUUUUGUUUUUGCUUUUCUAUUUUUAUUUAUAUUUUGUCUUUCCAUAUUUGAUAAUUUGUUUUGUAAGUGAUUUUUAUUAGUUAUAUCUUAUUUCAAAAUUAAUAUUUGUAGUUUAUAAUUUAAGUCUAUUUUUUUUUUAUUUUUUGAACCUAAUAAACUGAUAUUUAUUUUACGAAUUGAUGUUUAAGUAUGAAAAUAUUAGAUUAAUAUCAACAUUAUGAUUUUGGUCAUCAUUUUUAAAUUUGCAUGUUUAUAAAAAAUCUGAUUUAUAAUUUGUUUAUAAAUUUGUAUGUUUGAUUCAAAAUUUGAAAAGUUUUAAAUUUAUAAUUUAUGAUUAAGAGUAAAUUUAGUUUUAUGAUUUAAGGUGUUGAUGUUGGAAUAGGAGGUUUACGGUUAAAAUUUAGUGUUUUGGAUUAAGAUUCGAAAAUAAUAGAUUUGAAUACUAGACGAUUUGUAGUUAAAUAUUUAAUAAUUUAGAUUUGAAGUUUAUAUUUAGAGUAUUGAAUGUUUAGUUUACAUUUGAAGUUUAGAUUUAAG